GAGUGUACGGGCCUAUGACCUAUGAAUUGACAGCCAGUGGAUGUGAAGUCUGCCUGUCAAUUCUGUAGGCCACAGGUUCGUCCACCU
ensembl:miRNA xtr-mir-192 xtr-mir-192